rnacentral:rRNA from 1 species
AGAACGAACGCUGGCGGCAUGCCUAAUACAUGCAAGUCGAACGAACACUUCGGUGUUAGUGGCGCGCGGGUGCGUAACGCGUGGGAAUCUGCCCUUGGGUUCGGAAUAACAGUUGGAAACGACUGCUAAUACCGGAUGAUAUCGAAAGAUCAAAGAUUUAUCGCCCAGGGAUGAGCCCGCGUAGGAUUAGCUAGUUGGUGAGGUAAAGGCUCACCAAGGCGACGAUCCUUAGCUGGUCUGAGAGGAUGAUCAGCCACACUGGGACUGAGACACGGCCCAGACUCCUACGGGAGGCAGCAGUAGGGAAUAUUGGACAAUGGGCGCAAGCCUGAUCCAGCAAUGCCGCGUGAGUGAUGAAGGCCUUAGGGUUGUAAAGCUCUUUUACCCGAGAUGAUAAUGACAGUAUCGGAGAAUAAGCCCCGGCUAACUCCGUGCCAGCAGCCGC